AAAAUGACAGCAGACAGUUCCGUCAGGUACUUUACGACUAAACGGAAAAUAACUACCCACAAAACACAAAGGAAAAACAGGAUGCUUAAUGUAUGGUUCCUAAUCAGAGACAACGAUAUACAGCUGCCUCUGGUUAGGAACCCUACUCAAGCCCAACACAAGGAAAUACAAAAAGAUAGAAUACAAAACAUAGAAUGCCCACCCACCUAUCACACCCUGGCCUAGCUAAACAGAGAAAACACAGCUCUCCUAGGUCAGAGCGUGACAAUUACUAAUGUCAUUAAUAGGGCAGUUAGUUCUGUUCUGAAGCAUCAGGUCAUUACUAAGGCAGUUCUGUUCUGUUCUGAAGCAUCAGGUCAUUACUAAGGCAGUUCUGUUCUGAAGCAUCAGGUCAUUACUAAGGCAGUUCUUUCUGUUCUGAAGCAUCAGGUCAUUACUAAGGCAGUUAGUUCUGUUCUGAAGCAUCAGGUUAUUACUAAGGCAGUUCUGUUCUGAAGCAUCAGGUUAUUACUAAGGCAGUUCUGUUCUGAAGCAUCAGGUUAUUACUAAGGCAGUUCUGUUCUGUUCUGAAGCAUCAG
rnacentral:lncRNA from 1 species